rnacentral:rRNA from 1 species
UACGUAGGGUGCGAGCGUUAAUCGGAAUUACUGGGCGUAAAGCAUGCGCAGGCGGUCUGUUAAGACCGAUGUGAAAUCCCCGGGCUUAACCUGGGAGCUGCAUUGGUGACUGGCAGGCUUUGAGUGUGGCAGAGGGAGGUAGAAUUCCACGUGUAGCAGUGAAAUGCGUAGAGAUGUGGAGGAAUACCGAUGGCGAAGGCAGCCUCCUGGGCCAACACUGACGCUCAUGCACGAAAGCGUGGGGAGCAAACAGG